ACAUUUGAUAAGGAAGUCUUUCUGGCAUGAGGGGUGUGGCUAAGAAGGCAGGCUUAUGAAUUUUGCAAAACAUGUAUAAUUUUUUUAAAAAUUCAGCAUAUUAAGGAGGCCAAAAUCCAUCAAAUGCAUUAAAGAUGUACUGCCCGAAGUGUCCCUUUAAUACACUAAAGUGGUAAUUUCUAUUGGUAUCUACACUUUUGGGUUAAUGUGUAAGAAAAAAAAAGUACUUUUUUUUUUAAAAGGACAAUCGUUACCUAAAGCUUUUC